rnacentral:lncRNA from 1 species
CCCCUUCUAGCCGACGUCUAAAACCCUCGAAUUUGGUGAAAAUAAUCAAUUACAGGAACGUAGACGUCGAUUACGUUCCGAACCGACGUCUAAAUUGAAGGAUUUUUGUCUUCCCGCCUUCCAGAUAGGCCUUAGACGUCGCCGUUUGACUACGUGACGUCUAAGCGCCUGGGAAUUUGGUGAACAACAUUAAUUGUAGCCCCAGUCGACGUCGCUUAUUCAGGGGAUCCGACGUCUAUUCCUCGUCUGAAGCUGAACCGUUUGACGUU